AAUAUAUUGUUAAUUGCGAAUGAGAGUGUUAUAUAAAUGGAGAAUCGAGCCUUUUUUGAACGACUUUGGUGUCAGAUGUUUUAAUGAGGAAUGUGUAUCUGCUUCCCUCAUAACGUUUUACGCAAACUGCUAAAAGAACAGAUGAAUCUGGGAAGGUUUGACGAGAAGGUUCAUGAACAAGUGGACUGCUCUAUUGUCAGGCUAUAGUCUGAACAGAAAGCAUGAAAAUGCGCUAAAUCAGUCAACAUUUCCCAGCGGAUUAAAGAGAUGUAGUAAAGGUUGGUUUAGGAACUGAUAUACCUUUGUGUGUAUUUAAGUUGUCAUGUACAGUGACUGUGGAAAUGCAAACAAUUCUGUCACGGUGUUCACAGACGAAGAUCAUCAUCUCGUGGAAUUAAAUUAUUGUUGUCUUCGCGCAGCAUGGGAGAGAAAAGCGGGGAAAAUGAUUCAGUUAAACAUAAAGCCAGAUGAGAUCACUUUCACUGGCUUGUUCUAAAGACUUUUGACUUGUGAUGUGAGAGAGAAACUUUAAAUAUUAAACAAUGUUAAAAGUCACGAAAUAGUCAAGAAGAGGAAACUUCCGCAAAGUUGCAUCUGAAAAGUCGCAUAAACACAUGCAAUUGCUAGGUACUCUACAUCUGCUCUCGUUUUAUAUAUGCAUGUGUGCAUCUUCUCUUAUAUUAUAUGUGCAAUUUAUUUGUUUUCUCUUCUCCGUGUUUUUUUUUACGGAAUAACCUAUCUGAACAAUCUUGUAUGGCUUCUUCUUAUUCUUCAUCCUCUUCUCGCAAUUGGUCAUAUGACGUUUUUCCGAGCUUCAGUGGAGAAGAUGUCCGCAAGACCUUCCUCAGCCACUUUAUGAAGGAGCUAAAUCGCAAACUUAUCACUGCUUUCAAAGACAACGAGAUCGAGAGAAGCCGGUCCCUCGAUCCUGAGCUUAGACAAGCGAUCAAGGAUUCAAGGAUUGCAGUGGUCAUUUUCUCCACAAACUACGCCUCUUCAAGCUGGUGUCUUAAUGAGUUGCUUGAGAUUGUGAGGUGUAAGGAAGAGUGUGCUCAGAUGGUGAUACCGGUUUUCUACGGUUUGGAUCCUUCCCACGUGAGGAAACAGACUGGAGACUUUGGGAAGAUCUUUGACAAGACAUGCCAAAAUAAAACUGAGGACGAAAUCAUUCUAUGGAGGGAAGCUUUGACUGAUGUAGCUAACAUCCUUGGAUAUCAUAGUGUCACCUGGGACAACGAAGCAAGGAUGAUCGACGAAAUCGCCAAUGAUGUUUUGGGUAAAUUGAAUGUUUCUCCAUCAUAUGAGGUUGAGGAUUUUGUCGGAAUUGAAGAUCACAUCAGAGCUAUGAGCUCAUUGCUUGAGUUCGAAUCAGAGGAAGUGAGGAUGGUUGGGAUAUGGGGCCCCUCUGGAAUUGGCAAGACUACCAUUGCAAGAGCUCUAUUUAGUCGCCUCUCUCGUCGUUUCCAAAGUAGUGCUUUCGUAGAUAAAGUUUUCAUAUCCAAGAAUAUGGAUGUUUAUAGAGGAGCUAAUCUAGGAGACUAUAACAUGAAGCUGCACUUGCAACGAGCUUUUCUAGCUGAACUUUUAGACAAUAGGGAUAUAAAGAUAGACCAUAUAGGUGCUGUGGAAAAGAUGCUAAGGCACCGAAAAGCUCUUAUUUUUAUCGAUGAUUUGGAUGAUCAGGACGUGCUAGAUGCCUUAGCUGGAAGAACCCAAUGGUUUGGAAGUGGCAGUAGAAUCAUUGUGGUUACAAAAGAUAAACAUUUUCUAAGGGCCCAUGGGAUUGAUCACAUUUACGAGGUCUGUCUCCCUUCUAAAGACCUUGCUCUUGAGAUUUUUUGUCGAUCUGCGUUCAGAAGGAAUUCUCCACCUGAUGGUUUUAUGGAGCUUGCUUCUGAAGUUGUAUUCUGUGCCGGUAACCUUCCAUUGGGUCUUGACGUUUUGGGUUCUAAUUUACGGGGCAGGGACAAAGAAGACUGGCUGGAUAUGCUGCCGAGGCUUCGAACGUCUUUGGAUAGAAAGAUUGAGAGAACACUAAGAGCCAGCUACGAUGGGUUAAAUAACAAGAAAGAUAAAGCAAUAUUUCGUCACGUUGCAUGUCUUUUUAGUGGGAGGAAAGUUGAUCACAUUAAACUGCUACUAGAAGAUAGAAACUUGGAUGUUAAUAUUGGGCUUAAGAACUUAGUUGAUAAAUCUCUUAUCCAUGAAAGAUUUAAUACUGUGGAAAUGCACUCUUUGCUACAAGAAAUGGGUAAAGAGAUCGUCCGUGCACAGUCCGAUGAACCUGGAGAACGAGAAUUCCUUAUGGAUUCGAAGGAUAUUUGGGAUGUACUUGAAGAUAAUACUGGUACCAAAAGGGUUUUGGGGAUAGAGUUGAUUAUGGAUGAGACUGAUGAACUUCAUGUACAUGAGAAUGCAUUCAAAGGGAUGUGUAAUCUCCGUUUUCUAGAAAUUUUCGGAUGUAACGUUGUUAGAUUGCACUUACCCAAAAACUUCGACUAUUUGCCCCCUAGUCUCAGAUUAUUGUCUUGGCAUGGGUAUCCGAUGAGAUGUAUGCCUUCUAAGUUCCAACCUGAAAACCUCAUCAAGCUUGUGAUGCGUGCAGGCAAUCUCGAGAAGCUGUGGGAAGGAGUUGCGUCACUUACAUGUCUCAAGGAAAUAGAUUUGACGCUAUCUGUAAAUCUAAAAGAAAUCCCAGAUCUUUCAAAGGCCAUGAAUCUCGAGAGGCUUUGUCUUGACUUUUGCUCGAGUUUAUUAGAGCUUCCUUCCUCAAUUCGGAAUCUAAAAAAACUCAGGGAUUUGGAAAUGAAUUUUUGCACAAAUUUGGAGACUAUUCCAACUGGGAUUUAUCUCAACUCUUUCGAAGGCUUUGUUCUCUCUGGAUGCUCACGGUUGAGAAGGUUUCCUGAAAUCUUAACCAACAUCUCAGAAUCCCCUUCUUAUUUGACUCUCGAUGUGCUUAACAUGACCAACCUAAGGAGUGAGAACCUAUGGGAAGGAGUGCAGCAGCCGUUUACUACCCUCAUGACGAGAUUGCAACUCUCGGAAAUCCCAAGUUUGGUGGAGCUUCCUUCUUCAUUUCAGAAUCUCAAUAAACUGAAGUGGUUGGACAUUAGAAAUUGCAUAAAUCUGGAGACUCUUCCAACUGGCAUUAACCUCCAAUCACUCGAAUAUUUAGUUCUCUCCGGAUGCUCACGGUUGAGGAGUUUUCCUAAUAUCUCAAGAAACAUCCAAUACCUCAAACUAAGCUUUUCAGCGAUAGAAGAGGUUCCUUGGUGGGUUGAGAAAUUCUCUGCGCUCAAGGAUCUAAAUAUGGCUAACUGCACCAACUUACGACGUAUAUCCCUAAACAUUUUAAAACUGAAACAUCUCAAGGUGGCUUUAUUUUCAAACUGUGGGGCAUUGACUGAAGCUAACUGGGAUGAUAGUCCAAGCAUUCUGGCAAUAGCAACAGACACUAUUCACUCUAGUCUUCCUGACCGUUAUGUCUCAAUCGCCCACCUCGAUUUUACAGGCUGCUUCAACUUGGAUCACAAAGAUCUAUUUCAACAACAAACAGUUUUCAUGCGAGUGAUACUCUCAGGUGAAGUAGUGCCUUCAUAUUUCACUCACCGUAAUAAUGGAACCUCUCUAACCAAUAUCCCUCUACCACACAUCUCUCCCUCCCAACCAUUCCUCAGACUAAAGGCUUGUGCCUUGUUUGAUAUCGCUACAUUUAGUUUUCAUUCAUUCAACAUCCAGGUAUGUUUUCGGUUCAUAGACAUAUCUGGGAAUCACUUUGAUUAUGUCGAUGUGCAACCAGAAUUCUCAACAUCGAGGCUGGGAGGUCAUCUGGUUAUAUUUGACUCUUGUUUCCCUUCAAACAAAGACAUUACACUUCUAUCUGAUCAACUUAACUAUGAUCACAUUGAUAUACAAUUUCGUCUCAUUGAGGAAGACUAUGAGCUUCAGUUAAAAGGAUGCGGCAUAUUGUUUCCCGAGAACGGUCAAUCAAUGGGUAACCAACUUUGUAACCCAAACAUUCUUCCACUUGUUUUUGGAGGAAACACAAGCAACAAUGGUUACUUGGGAGGCCAUGAGACCGUACACAGCCAAGAGUCUGGAGAUAGCGCUCUGGAGAGUAAUCCAGAUAAUAUUUCACAUGUUCUUGCAGCUGAUGAAGACAAUGUUGUUAAUGAUGGAUGCCAUGUGGCUGACCAAAGUGUAGAGACAUUGAGAAAAAGCAAGCGCAUGCGGGUAAGAACUAUGCAUGAACUGAACAUAAUACUCUUUUGUCUUAUAGUUCGUUUUCUGUUUUAGUAUCCUUCAUAAUUUUGCAUUUACUGGACCUCUUUUGGUGCAGACUACGUGAAGAAACAUUGGAUCUUGAUUGUAAAUCUUCGAGAAACUUUACCUUCAUGCUCAUGAUUGUAAACUCUCUCGCAGUCAUUUUCCGGUUCAGGGCUUCGCGGUUUUUUCUACUCUCCGCCUAGAUAUGGUGGUAAUUUAGUAUAUAUCAAUGUCAACUGUUGGUUCAAAGGCAGACUUGGGGACAUCUUUGAUUAUUUUAGCCAGCAACAAAACUUCUGGACAGAAAAGAAGGAUGGUCAUCUGUUUAUAAUGGACUAUUGUAUCCCUCUACACAAAGAAAGUGCUCCUCUAGCUCAACUGAACUAUGAUCACGUGGAUAUACAACUCCAUGUAAGUACUAGAAUGGACUUUGCAUUAAGUUCAAAGAUAUUUGAUAAACAAUAUGUUCUCGGUCAUAGUGAGUCUAAGUUCAAAUUGAAAGGAUGGGGUAUAUGACUAGCUGAGAAUUGUUUAUCACCUCAGUCGUAGUGAGUCUUCUCGGCCGUAGUGAGUCUAAGUUCAAUGAACCAACUAAUUGGUACGUAAUCCAAAUACACUUCCAGGUGUUUGUGAAACCAAUGAAGACAACAUGGUUAAUCAUGGGCCUAAACAAGAUUAUGAAGACAGUUGUGAAGGGACAGAGAAAAACAGGAAGCGAAUGCGGGUAAGGAUCAAGCUACCUGAAUAUAAUACUGAUAUGUCUCGCAAUUCAAUUAAAAACUAUUUUGUAAUUGAUCACUAAAAUUUUUUUAUUUUUUUUUUGCAGAUUACAUGAAGGACCAUUCAAGAAACCUCCGCUUUCGCUGACGUCAGUUUGAAUCUUUGAUUGUGAUACAUUGAGAAACUUUCAUGGCGAUGAAAUGAGUUGUUUUUUCCGGUGCCAAAGGAACAACAUGAAUCGUCACAAUGAGUUGAAGAGACGUUUUUAGUUAACCAUAAAUCUCAUACUUCAGAAUAUGUAGGUCUUUAUUAUCAAUGUAAUUAAUUAGGUUUUUAUUUUUUAUUUUUUAAAAAAUGUUAUUUUGAAGAUUUUUCGGCUAUUUUAUAAUAAAAAUUGUUUUUAUUUGGAGAUACUUUUUCAUAGUAUAAUUACAUAGUUCAAGGAAAAACCACUUAGUGUGCAUUUAGGCGAUAUGUAGUCGUAUACCUAUGUACAAGAACA